GCCAGGUGUGGUAGUGCACACCUGUAGUCCCAGCUACUCGGGAGGCUGAGGCAGAAGGAUUGCUUGAACCCAGGAGCCAGAGGUAGCAGUGAGCCGAGAUCGCGCCACUUAACUCCAGCCUGGGUGACAGAGCGAGACUCUGUCUCAA
rnacentral:SRP_RNA from 1 species